CGAACGCUGGCGGCAUGCCUAACACAUGCAAGUCGAACGAGACCUUCGGGUCUCGUGGCGCACGGGUGCGUAACGCGUGGGAACCUGCCCUUAGGUUCGGAAUAACUCCCCGAAAGGGGUGCUAAUACCGGAUAAUGUCUUCGGACCAAAGAUUUAUCGCCUUUGGAUGGGCCCGCGUUGGAUUAGCUAGUUGGUAGGGUAAAAGCCUACCAAGGCGACGAUCCAUAGCUGGUCUGAGAGGAUGAUCAGCCACACUAGGACUGAGACACGGCCCAGACUCCUACGGGAGGCAGCAGUGGGGAAUAUUGGACAAUGGGCGAAAGCCUGAUCCAGCAAUGCCGCGUGAGUGAUGAAGGCCUUAGGGUUGUAAAGCUCUUUUACCCGGGAUGAUAAUGACAGUACCGGGAGAAUAAGCUCCGGCUAACUCCGUG
rnacentral:rRNA from 1 species